rnacentral:rRNA from 1 species
GGGUUGUGAGGUUAAGCGACUAAGCGUACACGGUGGAUGCCCUGGCAGUCAGAGGCGAUGAAGGACGUGCUAAUCUGCGAUAAGCGUCGGUAAGGUGAUAUGAACCGUUAUAACCGGCGAUUUCCGAAUGGGGAAACCCAGUGUGAUUCGUCACACUAUCAUUAACUGAAUCCAUAGGUUAAUGAGGCGAACCGGGGGAACUGAAACAUCUAAGUACCCCGAGGAAAAGAAAUCAACCGAGAUUCCCCCAGUAGCGGCGAGCGAACGGGGAGGAGCCCAGAGCCUGAAUCAGUGUGUGUGUUAGUGGAAGCGUCUGGAAAGGCGCGCGAUACAGGGUGACAGCCCCGUACACAAAAAUGCACAUACUGUGAGCUCGAUGAGUAGGGCGGGACACGUGGUAUCCUGUCUGAAUAUGGGGGGACCAUCCUCCAAGGCUAAAUACUCCUGACUGACCGAUAGUGAACCAGUACCGUGAGGGAAAGGCGAAAAGAACCCCGGCGAGGGGAGUGAAAAAGAACCUGAAACCGUGUACGUACAAGCAGUGGGAGCCUCUUUUAUGGGGUGACUGCGUACCUUUUGUAUAAUGGGUCAGCGACUUAUAUUCUGUAGCAAGGUUAACCGAAUAGGGGAGCCGAAGGGAAACCGAGUCUUAACUGGGCGUUAAGUUGCAGGGUAUAGACCCGAAACCCGGUGAUCUAGCCAUGGGCAGGUUGAAGGUUGGGUAACACUAACUGGAGGACCGAACCGACUAAUGUUGAAAAAUUAGCGGAUGACUUGUGGCUGGGGGUGAAAGGCCAAUCAAACCGGGAGAUAGCUGGUUCUCCCCGAAAGCUAUUUAGGUAGCGCCUCGUGAAUUCAUCUCCGGGGGUAGAGCACUGUUUCGGCAAGGGGGUCAUCCCGACUUACCAACCCGAUGCAAACUGCGAAUACCGGAGAAUGUUAUCACGGGAGACACACGGCGGGUGCUAACGUCCGUCGUGAAGAGGGAAACAACCCAGACCGCCAGCUAAGGUCCCAAAGUCAUGGUUAAGUGGGAAACGAUGUGGGAAGGCCCAGACAGCCAGGAUGUUGGCUUAGAAGCAGCCAUCAUUUAAAGAAAGCGUAAUAGCUCACUGGUCGAGUCGGCCUGCGCGGAAGAUGUAACGGGGCUAAACCAUGCACCGAAGCUGCGGCAGCGACACUAUGUGUUGUUGGGUAGGGGAGCGUUCUGUAAGCCUGCGAAGGUGUACUGUGAGGUAUGCUGGAGGUAUCAGAAGUGCGAAUGCUGACAUAAGUAACGAUAAAGCGGGUGAAAAGCCCGCUCGCCGGAAGACCAAGGGUUCCUGUCCAACGUUAAUCGGGGCAGGGUGAGUCGACCCCUAAGGCGAGGCCGAAAGGCGUAGUCGAUGGGAAACAGGUUAAUAUUCCUGUACUUGGUGUUACUGCGAAGGGGGACGGAGAAGGCUAUGUUGGCCGGGCGACGGUUGUCCCGGUUUAAGCGUGUAGGCUGGUUUUCCAGGCAAAUCCGGAAAAUCAAGGCUGAGGCGUGAUGACGAGGCACUACGGUGCUGAAGCAACAAAUGCCCUGCUUCCAGGAAAAGCCUCUAAGCAUCAGGUAACAUCAAAUCGUACCCCAAACCGACACAGGUGGUCAGGUAGAGAAUACCAAGGCGCUUGAGAGAACUCGGGUGAAGGAACUAGGCAAAAUGGUGCCGUAACUUCGGGAGAAGGCACGCUGAUAUGUAGGUGAAGCGACUUGCUCGUGGAGCUGAAAUCAGUCGAAGAUACCAGCUGGCUGCAACUGUUUAUUAAAAACACAGCACUGUGCAAACACGAAAGUGGACGUAUACGGUGUGACGCCUGCCCGGUGCCGGAAGGUUAAUUGAUGGGGUUAGCGGUAACGCGAAGCUCUUGAUCGAAGCCCCGGUAAACGGCGGCCGUAACUAUAACGGUCCUAAGGUAGCGAAAUUCCUUGUCGGGUAAGUUCCGACCUGCACGAAUGGCGUAAUGAUGGCCAGGCUGUCUCCACCCGAGACUCAGUGAAAUUGAACUCGCUGUGAAGAUGCAGUGUACCCGCGGCAAGACGGAAAGACCCCGUGAACCUUUACUAUAGCUUGACACUGAACAUUGAGCCUUGAUGUGUAGGAUAGGUGGGAGGCUUUGAAGUGUGGACGCCAGUCUGCAUGGAGCCGGCCUUGAAAUACCACCCUUUAAUGUUUGAUGUUCUAACGUUGGCCCCUGACCGGGGUUGCGGACAGUGUCUGGUGGGUAGUUUGACUGGGGCGGUCUCCUCCUAAAGAGUAACGGAGGAGCACGAAGGUUGGCUAAUCCUGGUCGGACAUCAGGAGGUUAGUGCAAUGGCAUAAGCCAGCUUGACUGCGAGCGUGACGGCGCGAGCAGGUGCGAAAGCAGGUCAUAGUGAUCCGGUGGUUCUGAAUGGAAGGGCCAUCGCUCAACGGAUAAAAGGUACUCCGGGGAUAACAGGCUGAUACCGCCCAAGAGUUCAUAUCGACGGCGGUGUUUGGCACCUCGAUGUCGGCUCAUCACAUCCUGGGGCUGAAGUAGGUCCCAAGGGUAUGGCUGUUCGCCAUUUAAAGUGGUACGCGAGCUGGGUUUAGAACGUCGUGAGACAGUUCGGUCCCUAUCUGCCGUGGGCGCUGGAGAACUGAGGGGGGCUGCUCCUAGUACGAGAGGACCGGAGUGGACGCAUCACUGGUGUUCGGGUUGUCAUGCCAAUGGCACUGCUCGGUAGCUAAAUGCGGAAGAGAUAAGUGCUGAAAGCAUCUAAGCACGAAACUUGCCCCGAGAUGAGUUCUCCCUGACUCCUUGAGAGUCCUGAAGGAACGUUGAAGACGACGACGUUGAUAGGCCGGGUGUGUAAGCGCAGCGAUGCGUUGAGCUAACCGGUACUAAUGAACCGUGAGGCUUAACCUUACAACGCCGAAG